CCACGGGGUUUAAAGAUCCAUUUUAUGUCACUGGCCAUGAAAUGAUUCCAGAGGAGACAUAAUCAGACACCACAAGCAUAUGAGGGUCUACAUUAGAGAGAAAGGGAACACACCUGCUGACACAUUUGUGAACUUAAGGGUGAAAUUAAGUUAGAGAAAAGAGAAGGUAAAGAUAAAGACAGAGUCCAGGCAGUGCAACAGGUUAGGCUAUUCAGGACAGUAGUACUUGGUUCACCACAAGACAAUCUAAACCCUCAAAUGGUUCCUCUUGGGAUGUCUCUGAGUCUGUGACUGGUCCCAACAAUUCAGCAAGGGUGUGGAUCACACUCAGUCCCACAAAGUGACUCACAAAAGUCACAACCACUUGCACUGUACAUCCAGCCACCCCAGUGAGGUACUGGUGCAGAGGGCAGUGCCACUCCCUGACUCAUCAGCACCUCCUUCGGCAGCUCAGCCAGUUCUCCCAGGUGCUGUGUAUCGACUAGGUUUACACUGCACAUCCACAACACAGAGCUCUGGGUAGCCAAUACUGCAACAAAAAAUUGGCCCUCAGCCUCAAGACCAGCGUCAGAUUAGUCACUGAAUAACUCAGGAUGAUCCAAUGACUCAUAAUUUAUUAUGCCUAUGAAGAUGGAAACAAUCAUAUCCUGUGCCGUUGACCCCCAUUCACCACCCUACCCGUAGUGAGAUAAAUCAAAGUAGGAGUUAGCUUCUUAUCCCCAGGAGCAACAACACCUUGGAACAAACAUAAUCUGCUCAGGAGUCUUCAGGUUGCUUCUCCCAGAUGUGAGGUCCUUGCAGUGCAAAAAGGAAGACCUGAACCUUCCAGCAAACUUCCCAGCAUAAGGAAAGGGACUUGGAGAGGGAAUGGACAAAUUGGAGCAGUGAAGAAAAAAAGUAGAGAUGAUCAACAGGAAGUUGCAUUUCCAGGAGUUAGUAUCCACACAGAUGUCUGAGUAACCAGGUGAGGGGUUUCUUUGAGAGGAAUGAAUAAAUUGCUGUUGGGGCUUUUGCUUCUGCUCUCAUGGUGUCAGAACUGAGGACAGAAGAAAGGGCAGGGAGAGAUGCUGGUGGGAGUCUUGCUUCUGGAGAAGAGGCAAAUGAUAGAAGAAUAUACUCUCUGGCAUCCAUAUGUUUGUGGCACAGGGUGGAUCCAGUACCAGCAGGUUCUUUGUAGGUGAGAAGGAGAGAAAGGCCAGGCAGCGAGAUGGCCGUUUGGACACCUUUCCAAAGUGUACACCAUGGCUCAGGAAGGAGUUACGGGCAAACGAAGGAGAAGGGUUCUGGCCUUAAAAUCUCUGAAGAGGUGAUGGAACUGAAUUACUUGCAUAAGCUGAUCAUUUUGCUCAUCUUGUGCUGCCUCUCCCCCUUUUUAUCUCUCCUUAGAUAAUACUCCCACUGAAAAGGGUUGCAAGGACUCAAGGGCUUCCAUCAAUCAUACCUUUCCUUCACCAUAGACCUAUGACCAAGAUUCAGAGAUAAUGUCAUCUGGGGCCAAAGCUUUCCGCCUCAAAGCUACCACACAGGUUGGGAGCAAGGCAUCCUGACCUGCAUCCCAGAUUGUUUUUGGAUUACGUGAGCCUCCCUGGGGAAUGCUCAACAGGAAUUGACGCUCAUCACCAGUCCUGGCAGGAGGCUGAGUAGAGCCAGAUACCCUCCCUAGCCUGGGUCCCACCAUGCAACACUCUCCAAGCAUGGAGUGCACCAACUACUCUCAGAAUAGCUGACAAAGGAGGUGUCAAAGCAAGCCCCCAAGUAAAGCCCUCCUGUGCUGGCAUACAGCUUGCAGGAUGCUUUCCCCCUGCUGCAUGCACCAGGCUUGGCCAGGAGAUGGGCAAUGUGGUGGGCUGGGCAGCAGAGGCAUGUGGGUGCUAAACACACAGAGAACCCUAUGGCAGCUGGCUGCAGAGGGCAGCCCAGACGCCUAAAGAGAUGCUUGGGAACACACAGGCUAGGGAUAGAUGAGGCUUUUUUUUUCAUUCCCAAAGAAGUGUUUGGGGCGUCGGGAAAAGUGAGGUAAAAAUAUAGAGUACAAACCAGCAAGAUUAGCACCAUGUUACAAUAUACAGGUAUAGUCCAGAAUUGCAGAUAUUUCCUGACGUCUCUCAGUUGUGGAUGGGCAGCAUUGCUCCCCUGGAUGUAUGAAGGCAGCAAGUUUAAAGAAAUCCUUAUAGAAAGGCUUUUUUGGCCUUGGGAAGCCAGCCUUGGGCAGGUAAACAGGUAGCACUUGCCCAACAAGCCUGCUUCCCUUUAUAUGUCUGUAAUCACCUCACACAGACAGCAAGUUGCACCUCUGGAGAUAGUAUCCUGAGGUAUGCAGCCAGGAAAACUCUGACAUUUGAAGGAGAACCUGACCCUUCUUCCCUUCAUGAUGCAAAGUCCCUGAGGUCCUUCACCUCCCCACACAAAAGGGCAAGCCUUCCCUAAAGCGGUGGUCAGGCACUCUGUGCAUUUCUUUCGCACUCUCCUUCACUGCUGUGCAGGGGAUAUCACCUCCCUGCUCUUAUCCACAACUCGCCACCUCUUACAAGAUAUGAGGUACUUGGCUGGAGGUCCAGGCAUAAGUGCCUGGUUGCUCUGGGAUGGCCAGCAGCUCACCUACCCCAUCAUGCAGGGUGUCAGGUGCUGUGGGGCACAGCAAGGGCCAGCAGCUGCUUGUGGGGUGGCACAGUGCCACUGGGGCCACACUGGCCUGGCCCCAAAUGGGGAGCUGGGAGCAAGCACGGUGCAGACCUUGUGCUGGAUGAUCUGGAUUAGCCUUGAAUUUCAGCCAUGUCAAGCCAGAGAGACUGCCUGCUCCCUUACCACAUGAACUACUAUAAAAAUACCCAUCUCUCACUACCAAAGGUCCCAUGGGCCGACAGUGGAGGACAUGUCCUAUGAAAUUAAUUUCCUUUGCACUUCCAAAGGUCUUUGUGGGACCAUGAUGAAUGACAGAUUUAUAGGCAUUUCUAACAAAGACACUGUAGGUGGUGGUGGAGCCCAGGCAGAGCCUGGCUGACUUACAGACCUGAUAAGUAGUGCAAGACAUCAGCAACAAAGGGGUUAAACAAGCUAGCAGGUGCCAAAAGGGAGAGACAGACAGGGCUUCCAACCAAAAGCACUCUUUAUUCCAUUGCCAGUGGGAUUUUCUGUUGUGUCUGCCCAGGGCACCCUUUUCUGCCUUUCACGGUGCCUCCGCUCUCUGAAUCACACAGAAUAA
ensembl:lncRNA